CACUUUCGGAGGAAGGACAGAUUUUGUUUGGGGUCCAUAACCUCUGCCUCUUCCUUCUUCCCUCUCCUUUCCAGAAGACACGAAGUCCCAGAGUUCCCACAUCCUGCCUACCGUGCUGGUCUUCUCCGUGCUGCUUGUCAUCAGCAUUCUGCUGGCCUGGUACUUCCUCAGGAUAAGGAACCAGAGAAAGGAGGUCGUCACAGCAGUCGACAAGAAAAUACCGAAUGGAAUCCUGGAAGAACAAGGGGACACCGUUGACAUCAUAGACAUCUCGGAGGCGUUAAACACCCCCUCAUCAUCAGGUCAGGUAUACGGUUGUAGCCAUAGUACCUGGGUCCAUAACCCACGUGUCACUAACACACCUCUUCCAGGGCAUUGUUGCAUGGGGAUGCCGACAGAGUCUGCUGUACUAUAGUGUGGCUGUCCUUCCUCUGGCUUGGUGAUGCUGGCUCUGGGGACAGUGACCUCUGACAACUAGUGGUGUUCAUUGGUGACUAAUAAACAUACAUCACUCUUGUAAAGAGUCUAGAUUUAACAUAGAUGGAAAGUAUUCAGUAUUGAAAUCAGUUUUUAAUACAAUGAUUUAGAUGAAUGUCUGUGUACGUCUGAUUGAUCCUAGAUUUGCUUUCUCUAGGAACCCAGGUAGCGAUGGAUGAAGGGUCCUGAAGGUCCAACCUAAUCAAUUUGUCUGUAAAUGUCUCUGAAGAAAUGUGCUUCUCCGGAACGUCUCUGUGUACAUACAGGCAUCAUCACUUCCUCUCAACUCAACUCAACUCAACUCAACUCAACUUUCUCUCUCUCUCUGUCUCUCUCUCUGUCUCUCUCUCUCU